UCCUCAUUGGUCUAGUGGUAAGGAUACCUGCUUGUCAAACGACAGUUCGCAGGUGGCCAGGGUUCGAUUCCCUGAUGGGGAG
rnacentral:tRNA from 1 species